CCCCCUGUAGCUCAACGGAUAGAGCAAUUCCGUCCUAAGGAAGAGAUGAGGGUUCAAUUCCUUCCGGGGGGA
rnacentral:tRNA from 1 species